AUUCGAUUAGAGUUUGAUCCUGGCUCAGAUUGAACGCUGGCGGCAUGCCUAACACAUGCAAGUCGAACGAGGUGUACUUGUACAUCUAGUGGCGGACGGGUGAGUAAUACGUAGGAAUCUACCUUGAAGUGGGGGAUAACCCGGGGAAACCCGGACUAAUACCGCAUGAUCUCUUCGGAGCAAAGCAGGGGAUCGUAAGACCUUGCGCUUUUAGAGGAGCCUACGUCUGAUUAGCUAGUUGGUGGGGUAAUGGCCUACCAAGGCGACGAUCAGUAACUGGUCUGAGAGGACGACCAGUCACACCGGAACUGAGACACGGUCCGGACUCCUACGGGAGGCAGCAGUGGGGAAUAUUGGACAAUGGGCGAAAGCCUGAUCCAGCAAUGCCGCGUGUGUGAAGAAGGCCUUCGGGUUGUAAAGCACUUUAGGCUGGAAAGAAAAAACUCGGAUUAAUACUUCGAGUCCUGACGGUACCAGCAGAAUAAGCACCGGCUAACUCUGUGCCAGCAGCCGCGGUAAUACAGAGGGUGCGAGCGUUAAUCGGAUUUACUGGGCGUAAAGCGUGUGUAGGUGGUUCAUUGCGUCGGUUGUGAAAUCCCCGGGCUUAACCUGGGAACUGCUUCCGAUACGGGUGGACUAGAGUACGGUAGAGGGUGGUGGAAUUUCCGGUGUAGCGGUGAAAUGCGUAGAUAUCGGAAGGAACAUCAAUGGCGAAGGCAGCCACCUGGGCCUGUACUGACACUGAGACACGAAAGCGUGGGGAUCAAACAGGAUUAGAUACCCUGGUAGUCCACGCCGUAAACGAUGAGAACUUGACGUCGGCUUGCUUAGCGAGUCGGUGUCGUAGCUAACGCGAUAAGUUCUCCGCCUGGGGAGUACGGCCGCAAGGUUGAAACUCAAAGGAAUUGACGGGGGCCCGCACAAGCGGUGGAGUAUGUGGUUUAAUUCGAUGCAACGCGAAGAACCUUACCUGGUCUUGACAUGUCUGGAAUCCUGCAGAGAUGCGGGAGUGCCUUCGGGAAUCAGAACACAGGUGCUGCAUGGCUGUCGUCAGCUCGUGUCGUGAGAUGUUGGGUUAAGUCCCGCAACGAGCGCAACCCUUGCCCUUAGUUGCCAUCAUUCAGUUGGGCACUCUAAGGGGACCGCCGGUGACAAACCGGAGGAAGGUGGGGAUGACGUCAAGUCAUCAUGGCCCUUAUGACCAGGGCUACACACGUACUACAAUGGUGCAUACAGAGGGUCGCCAAGCCGCGAGGUGGAGCUAAUCCCAGAAAGUGUAUCGUAGUCCGGAUCGGAGUCUGCAACUCGACUCCGUGAAGUCGGAAUCGCUAGUAAUCGCCGAUCAGCAUUUGCGGCGGUGAAUACGUUCCCGGGCCUUGUACACACCGCCCGUCACACCAUGGGAGUUGGCUGCACCAGAAGCCGGUAGUCUAACCGCAAGGGGGACGCCGUCCACGGUGUGGUCAAUGACUGGGGUGAAGUCGUAACAAGGUAACCA
rnacentral:rRNA from 1 species